UACGGGGGGGGCAAGCGUUGUUCGGAAUUACUGGGCGUAAAGGGCUCGUAGGCGGCCAACUAAGUCAGACGUGAAAUCCCCAGGCUCAACCUGGGAACUGCGUCUGAUACUGGAUGGCUUGAAUCCGGGAGAGGGAUGCAGAAUUCCAGGUGUAGCGGUGAAAUGCGUAGAUAUCUGGAGGAAUACCGGUGGCGAAGGCGGCAUCCUGGACCACGACUGACGCUGAGUGAGCGAAAGCCAGGGGAGCAAACGGG
rnacentral:rRNA from 1 species